ACUUUGGCAGCAGGACUCAGGGCGGUGACGCACUUCCGGCCUUUGUGGUUCGUCGGUUGUCGGAACGCUGCAACCAGGCAACCGGAUCUGGAGCUUCCCAGCGACCCACGGGCGAGUUUCGGCCCUCAGUUGGACCCCUCAGGCUGUGGUGUCUGGGGUGGUCCGGGGGCACGCUCGCUGGCCUGGAACCCGGAGCAGCUGGAGGAGGUUGCUUCCCGCCCUCCCUGGGGUGGUGGAGAGACUUCUAGAGGAGGGCAGAACAAGACCCAGUUCCCAGCAGAUGUCUUGUGCAACUUUUUACCAACCAGGGUCCAAUCGUGGCGAGAUCAUUAAGUCUCUUUCAGUGUAGAGUAGCCCUACCCCUGUUCCUCCCUGCUUCCUGUCCCAUUGCCUUAUUGAAGAGGAGAGGCUGUCAGUCCUCCCUCCAUAGCGUACUCCCAUUUCUGGGUUUGCUCCUCUAUUUCCUUGUCGUUGUAAUUGGUAUCCUUAGGGAUUUAUUUUUACAAUACAGGUGGCUUAUGAUUUACAUGAUCUCUUUAUUGUUGCUCAAGCACUGGAACUAAUAAGAAAAUGUUCUUUUAUGCUGCUGCCGCCAUUUCUUUAGUUCAAAAAGUGAAAAUGGGGACACAUGCACUUGUUUCAUUCUUUCUUUGCUGCCUGAUACAUAAUAGACUCUUAGUGAAUAUUUGUGAAAUGAACAGUAAUGCAUAGAAACUGAAUACUGAAUUUAGGAUGAGCUCCUCUGACUUCCAGGAGUAUGCCCAGCUUUUAUUUCAUUGUAUUGUAAUUGCAUCCCAUGAGCUGCAAAUUCCUAUGUAUUUCCAGCACUUAGAAGCACAGAUCCCUAAAUGUCUGUCCAAUGACUCAACUGCUUUUACAAAGAUUGAGCUAUUUCUCCUUUUAUUUGUAUGUAUUGUUCAAAGUUAAAUAACUUCAGAGAGCACAGUAACAUCUUUCCUAAGUGGAAGUCUUUCCAAAUUCAAUGCAACAGCUUCCCUCCGCACCUUUCUUUCAACUCUUGCUUUUUCUACUUCCACUCUAGCCUUGCACCCUCAUUCCCUCAACUCAUUCUCUUUCCAGUAUAUGAAAUAUAUAUACAAAUAAGCAAUAAACCCAACCUUGAUGGUUCCCUUUAAAGCCUUUAGUGGUUUGCCAUUGCACUUUUUUGUUUUUAAGAUUUUGUUUUUAUUUGAGAGUUAGAGUUACAGACAGAGAGAAGGAGUGACAGAGAGAAGAAUCUUCUGGUUUACUACCCAAAUGACUGCAAAGGCUGGUGCUGGGCUGAUCUGAAGCCAGGAGACAGGAGCAUCUUCCACUGCUUUCCCAGGCCAUUAGCAGAAGGAGAGCUGGAUUGGAAGAGGAGCAGCCAGGAUAUGAACUGGCGCCCAUAUGGGAUACCAGUGCUGCAGGGGGAAGCUCAGCCGACUAUGCCACAGCACCGCCCCCAACCAUUGCACUUUGAAAUUCAAACUCCUUGACAGACUUGGGGGCUCUUGUUUGUCCUGUCAGCCGGUUUCCCAGUCUCUGAGUAAUGCACUCCUGUUACUCUUUAGGGUUCAGCUUGAAUGUUACCUCAUCUCUCACCACCUAUCUAAAUAGGCCUUCCAUUUGAUUGAUAACUUAGUGCCUACUUUGUAUGUCUCAUAUCACUUAUCAUGACUCAUAAUUAUUUUAUUUUUGUUGCUGCUUUUAUUUUUGGUUUCUCUUAUCCAUUAAAAUGUAAGCUCCAGCAAAAACAAACAAACAAACAAACAAAAAUGCUGGUUCUAUCUUUUUCAUCCUUGUAGCCUUGGUGCCUUGCAAAGUGCAUGGCAUGUCAGGAGUGCUCAGUGAAUAUUUAUGCACUAAGACAAGUGAGUAAAUGGCAGUAUCUGUCUAGAUCAUAACCAGGACACCAAGAAAAACUAAAAAGAAAAUUCUUCUUAGAGCUCGUUAAUAUAAACAAUACUCAAAUUCUCCACUGUGUUAAACACAGAAGGCUUAAUUUUAUGUGGUAGUUUGGAAAUAAACAUAAAAACUAAUUGGGUCUGGGGCAGGUGUUGUGGCACAAUAGGUUGAACCACUACUUGGGAUGCCCACAUUCCAUAUCAGAAUGUUGGCUUGAGUCCUCGCUGCUCUGCUUCUGAUCCAGCUCCCUGCCAAUGUACCGGGGAAGCAGCAGAUGAUCGCUCAAGUGCUUGAGUCCCUGCCACCCACAUGGGAGACCUGGAUGGAGUUCCUGGUCGGGGCUGUUUGCAGCUACCUGGGGAGUGAACCAGUGGAUGGAAAUCCUCUCUCUCUCUCUUUCUCUCUCUCUCUUUUUCCAUGUCUCUCCUUCUCUCUGUCACUCUGCCUUUCAACUAGAUAAAUAAUUUUUUUAAAGUAUUGGAUCUCAUUAAAUAAAUAUAGAGUUUGUAGAGUGUUUGACAAUUCACUUGACGUAGGGAAAGCAUAUCAAAAUAGUGCUGCCUUAAGUAAAAUACAGAUUUAUCAAUUGGAGCACUUGUGAAGGUAGGUAGACUGAGUUUUCUCUUUCUCUCUCACUAUAUUUUUGCCUUUAAAUUUUAUUUCAUUAUUUUUUACAUUAAAAAUCUUAAGUGUAUAAAUAUAAGAACAAUAUAAUCAGCACCAUAUACUGCCUCUUAGCUUUAAGUUUUCCAAAAAUUAUCAUUAUUCUUGUUUAAAAGAUUUAUUUAUGUAUUUUUAAGGUGGAAAGAGAGAGAGGAAGAGAGAAGGAGAGAGCGAGCAAGCAAGUGUUUUUUUUUUUUUUUCUAUCCUCUGGUUCACUCCCCAAAUGGCUGCAAAAGCCAGAGCUGGGCCAAUCUGAAGCCAGGAGCCAGGAGCCUUUCCCACGUGGGUGCAAGGGCCCAAGUACUUGGGCCAUCUUCCACUGCUUUCCCAGGCACUUUUGCAGGGAGCUGUAUUGGAAGCAGAGCAGUCGGGAUUCGAACCAGUGCCCAUAUGGAACGCGGACACUGCAGACAAGGCUUAACCUUCUAUGCCACAGUGUCAGCCUCUGUCAUUAUUUACUUCAGCUAUUGGAAAAAUCAUUAUAGUUGCACUUGUGGCCUUUGUGUUUCCCUUGCCACGUCUGAGAGAGAACUGCCUUGUGAGUUCAGUAUUUCUUUUUCCUGAAUAUUUUGAUGAUAUGCCUUUUUAUAUUCAUUUUUUGUAAAACUUUCUAUAUUGCAUUUCACCUGCCCCGAUUUGGAAGCUAGGCACUGUAUUCCUAAUAUUGUUUUCUUUUUGUCUAAUACUUUAUUAAAUUAUAUCAUAUUUAUAGUAAAGUGCACAAAUUUUUUGUUUACAUUUGAAGAAUUGUUAUAAAGGAAAUAGACUUUAUGUAAGCACCAUCACCAAGAUCAAUAAACAUAAAUAGUACCCUAGUAGCCCUCAUACUACCCUUCCUACUCAUUUUCCCCCACCAAAGGUAACUACUGUGUGCAUCCUAUCACAAAAAGCUAUCAGUAGAUUAUUUCUAUCUGCUUUUGUAUUAGUUUUCUAUUGCUUUGUUACAAAUUACCACAAAUUUAGCAACUUAAAACAACGGUCAGUUGUUAGUGCACAAUUCUGUAGGUCAGAAGUUUGGCAUAACCUGGCUGGUUUCUGUGCUCAGGGUGUGACAAGGUCGAAAUCAACAUGUCAGCCUUGAUCCUGUGUUCUCAUGUCCAAGCUCUGGGGAGAAACUGGCUUCCAAUCGUGUUCUUGCUGGCAGAUUCCAACUUCUCACAGUGUACGACUGAACUCCAGGUAGGACUGAAGCCCCUCUUUCUUUGCUUGGCUGCUAGCCAGUGAGUGACUGGUCUCGGCUUCUGGAGGCAGCUACAAUCCUUUUUAGCUCUCUCCAUAGUAAAGUUAGCAAUCAUGCACCAAAUCCUUAUCAUGCUUUGGAUCUCUGACUUCCUUCUCUACCAUAAGCCAGAGAAAACUCUGCUUUUAAUGUAAAUAGGUGGGUCCCAUUCAAGUAACUCCAUAUCAUAAAGUCAACUGGUUAGUUAUCUUACUUACACCCUUCCCUGUAUGCGCUAUCACAGGAGUAACUUUAGAAGUCCACCUGCUACAAUGCUAGUGUUUAUUCCACAGUUAAUGAACAUUUGGGUUAGUUCUACCAUGAAGCUGUUAAGAAUAAAGCUGCACUGGAAAUUCCUAUAUUUAUCUUUUAGUGGACAUACACAUUUAUUUCUUUGAGUAUAUAUCCAGGAGUUGAAUUGCUAGGUCAUAUAUAUUCAGCUUCUCAAAGAAUGAUGAGACCAUCACUCAAUAUCUGAAAAUAAAAGACAGCUGAAGAUGUGUUCUGACUAGGUCCCGAAAAGAAAAAACUACCGAUCUUAGAGGGAUUUUGAGAAGCAUGAGUUCAGUGAUUGGUGGAUCUUUGUGUGUUUAAGCGGGCUGAUGUCAUCAGUGGGAGCAUAGUUAUGGGACAGACUGUUGCUGAUUCGUGUCCCUCAGGUUUGUAUUGGGAUGAGUUCAUUCCUUGCUGACUGAUUUUCAAAAGCUACUCAUUGUCACUAAUUGGUUGGCUUGCAAAGCAUGUUCUUAGUGAACUGGGAUCCAACAGACCACUUAUGGGCCACUUGUUUCACAGCCACAGCACAGUCGUCUUUUUCUAUGAGUGUGGGAACUUGUUAAUUCUCAAGGUUAAUAGAUAGUUCAAUGGAUUUGCCAAAUGUCUAUAUCCAUUAAUCUCUCAAUAUUAACAUGAGAGUUACAUUUGUCCCUUCCUCAUAUACCCUUAAAUUAUAGGACAUAUAUUUGUCUUUAGACUUUUUCAGUGAAUUCUGUUGUCCGGUGUUCAUAUUCUCCCAACAGCAACUGGACUGAACAUCCAUUGUAUCUUAUACAUUAGAAUUUUAGUUUCACAUUCCUCCCAUUUUCUUAAAGAUUUAUUUAUUUGAAAGGCAGAGUUGCAGAGAGAGAGACAUCUUCCAUCUGCUGGUUCACUCCCCAGUUGGCCACAACAGCUGGAGCUGUGCUGAUCCGAAGCUAGGAGGCAGGAGCUUCUUCCAGGUCUCCCACAUGGGUGCAGUGGCCCAAGGACUUGGGCCAUCUUCUAUUGCUUUCCCAGGCCAUAGCAGAGAGCUAUGAAGCAGCUGGGACUCAAACCGGUGCCCAUAUGGGAUAACAGCACUACAGGUGACGGCUUUACCCGACAUGCCACAGCGCUGGCCCCCUAACUUCAUCUCUUAUCUCACAUAUAUUACCCACACUCAACAUUCUAUGGUUAAGCCACCAAGAUCGCCACCUGUUCUUAGAGCCACUACGUACACCCUUCAGUGCCUCUACUCAUGUUGUUUGCUUGUUUUAUAAUGUUGAAUCCCCUCCCAUCACCCUUUCUAUGCCUGAUAAAUUCUUGUUCAUUAUUUCAGCCUAAUUCAAAUGUACUUACUCCUGAGCCACAUUCUUUCAAUGUCACAUAACCAAAUCUCCUAUUUGUUCCCUGGAUAUUCAAUUGAGGUCUGUAUUAUAUCACAUAUAAAUUCUGGUAUUAUAGCUAGUCUUAGAUGUCCUGUUUACCACCUAUACCUAAUAUGUUAACUCUCUACCAGGCUUUUAAACUACUACUAUUUAUGUAUCUGUUUAUCUAUUUUUUGGACAAAUGUUAUUCCAAAUAUUUUUUUAAUUUUUAUUUAGAAAUAUAAAUUUCCAAAGUACAGUUUAUGGAUUACAAUGGCUUCCCCCCCCAUAAUUUCCCUCCCACUUGCACCCCUCCCAUCUCCCGCUCCUUCUCCCAUUCCAUUCACAUCAAGAUUCAUUUUCAAUUAUCUUUAUAUACAGAAGAUCGAUUUAGUAUAUAUUAAGUAAAGAUUUCAUCAGUUUGCACCCACACAGAAACACAAGGUGUAAAAUACUGUUUCAGUACUCGUUAUAGCAUUACUUCACAUUGGACAACACAUUAAGGACAGAUCCCACAUGAGAAGUAAGUACACAGUGACUCCUGUUGUUGACUUAACAAUUUGACACUCUUGUUUAUGGCAUCAGUAAUCUCCCUAGGCUCUAGUCAUGAGUUGCCAAGGCUAUGGAAGCCUUUUGAGUUCGCCAAUUUCUGUCUUAUUCAGACAGAAUGUAUUGGCUUGCUGUAUUAGUUACUCUAACAUCCAUUCUGCCACAUUUUCUGUUUAGUAGAAGAGAGCCAUUAUGUAUAGCCACACUGAAGGGCAGGGGAAUUAGAUUCCACCUUUUUAAAACAACGAAUAUCCACUAAAAUGUGGACAUAUUUUAAACCACCAUGUCCAGGUGGGCCUCUUUUGUUUUCCCUUUCUGGAAUUAAACUCUGGCCCUUCCGUUGUACCAUCUCUCUAAAAAAUGUUUUAUUUGUUCAUGUGAUCUCUUUGAGUAUUAGCUUGCGAUCCAAUAUCCCUUUUUUGUUUUUUUAAGAAUUAUUUAUUUUAUUUGAAAGGCAGAGUUUCUUAGAGGCAGAGAGAGAGAGAGAGAAGCCUUCCACCCACUGGUUCACUCCCCAGAUGGCCUGCUGAGCCAAUCUGAAGCCAGGAGCUUCUUCCGGGUCUCCCACGUGGGUGCAGGGGCCCAAGGACUUGGGCCAUCUUCCACUGCUUUCCCAGGCCAUAGCAGAGAGCUGGAUUGGAAAUGGAGCAGCCAGAAUUUGAACCGGCGCUCAUAUGGGAUGCUGGCACUGCAGGCGACGGCUUUACCCGCUAUGCCACAGCGCCAGCCCCUCCUAUAGUCCUUUUAUGAAUCUGAAUAUACCUACCUGCCUCAGGCCUCAGAACAAGAACACGGAGGUUCUGAAGUGCCCUCAGAGAGCAGAAAGAGAAAAGCAGCAGGGAAACCCUGCUGGAGGAAGUCGUCACAGAUGCAAGGGAUGUGGGAAAAGCUUCACUCAGAAUCCAGUCCUCAUCCAGCACCACGAAUCCGCACUCGGGAAAAGCCAUACGAAUGCGAAAAGUGUGGGAAGGCCUUCAGCCAGCGGUCAGGCCUGAAUGAACUUGAGCGGAGUCACACCCGAGAGAAGCCCUGUCGGUGUAAGGAGUGUGCGAAAGCCUUCUUACUAGACACAGGAGAGUCCGCACAGGGGAGAAGCCGGACGAAGGUGAGGCGUGCGGGACGGCUUUCCGCCUCAGCUCAUCCGUGGUUCAGCGCCAGAGGAUGCACACCGGAGAGAAGCGCUACCGGUGAACCGAGUGUGGCAAAGCCUUCAGUCGGAAUGCGGGGCUCUUCCAGCAUCUCCGGGUCCACACUGGCCAGAGACUCUAUCCGUGCAGCCAGUGCAGUAAAAGCUUUCGUAGGCGGACACGUCUCACCAAACAUCAGAGGAGCCUACUGGAGAGAGGCCGAGCGCGCCAGAGCCUCCAGCCUUCGCUGCAACCUCAUUAGGCACUGUAGGAUCCACACUCUGGCUCAGCGGGACUGAUUCCAGGCACUCCCAGGCUCCUGAGUGGGGCCUGCUUGGAAAGGGCAGGUAUUUGGUGCAUCCCAUAUCUGAGUGCUUAGCUUCAAGUCUCCACCAACUUCUGAUUCUGGGUUUGUGCUGCUGUGCACCGUGGGAAGCAGCAAGUGAUGGCUCAAGACCAAGACUGAGUUCUGGGCUCCUGGCUUCAUCCUGUCCAGCCCAGAUACUGUGAGCAUUUGGAGAGUGGACCAGAGAAUGACAGAUCUGUGUGUGACUACUCCUUGGCGACAAGAUGCUCAAUGAGAAUGUUCCUGAAUCCCAUCCAAUGGGGAGAGUGAACCUGCUACUAAAUUAUGGAAAUUCAGAUUAUCUGGAGUGCCAAGAAAGUCCAGUUGUGGCCAGUUGGGGUACAGAAAAGGACAGUGAAAGUCAAAGUUGAAAAAACUGGCUUCACAUGGAUCAGGAAUCCAGCCUUCGUGGAAUCUUUCACAGGAAGUCUGCAGAUAACAGUUCAGACAUCUCUGCUGCCAAUAUUCCCCUGGACUUUGAGUGACUCUGAGACGUCUCUGGGAGCUCAGCCAUCAGAGGGUGCAGCCAGAGCCCCACCGCAGGGAGAAGCUCCUGACCAUGCCUUGAUGAGAGGGCCACCGCCAGAGAAUGGAUAAGAGCCCGUGGUCUUGUUGGCACAGAAGAGACUGAUGGAUCAAGGUGGCAGAGGGCAGGUAGAAGACUGGAAGGUCUAAAGCCAGAAUGAGGGGCACUAACAGCUUGGGGGGUGCUUUUGACCAUGCUGCAGGACCCUGCUGCAGCUAUCAUGAUUGGCGUUUUGCUUUUCACCUUUUGAAUGCAACCCCUGUAACCCUUGGAUGGUUGGAGUAAAGAACCACGGAUUUCUCUCUUCCAGUCCAAUAUUCCACAAGCUUCUUUAAGAAUUUAGCCUUAAUUCCUAUAAUAAUUUCAAAAAAAAACGAUUCAAGAUCCAGCCCAUUUCCAUAAAAGGGACGUAAUCUUGAAGAAAAAUUACCUCUGAGGUCAAUAGGGGAAUUUUUAGUCAUGCAACUGUAGCCCAUAAAGACCCAGGUCAAAUAAGAAUCUCCAAAACCAAGUGCUAUUCCAAAGAAUGGUGAGAAGUAGAAUUUCUUCUGAGAGGGACGUACGGCCAGCUGGAGACUUAAAAGUAAUCUUUGGGCCCAUUUUUAUUCGUUUCCCAUUUCAUAAAACCCUGCUAUCAUCUCCCACUCUACUAAUACGUACAAAAUAUUUUAACUUAAUUGAGAGAUGGAGUGCUCCUAUCAGCUGGUUGAUUCCCCAGAUGUCCACAGCUGGGACUCAGCUGCGCUGGAGCCAGGAGUACACGAACCUGGUUGGCAGGGACCCAAUUCUCAAGCCAUCACUGCUGCCUUCUAGGGCCUCCAUUAGCAGGAAGAUGGAGUCAGGAGCUGAAGCCGUGGAUCAAACCCAGAAUAACCAGGAAUUGCUUUGGCUACUUAAUAAAGCAUCCCAUCUCACGUCUGCCUAACUUUGUCACUGACUCAGGAGAACCUUUAGGGAGUGGUAGACAGCGGUAGCCGUAUUCAGGUGUUUCUUGGGGAGGAGACGGAAACUCCAGGAGGACUGCCAGUGGACAUACCACGUUUGGAUUCCACACAUUGACAACAUCCUUUAGCGGUUCUCGAUGACUGGGGAACCCAGAGCUGCAGCAGCUUGCCAGACGUAAGAUGAUCAGAAGGCUGUCUCUACAUUGUGUCCCCAGCCUUGAAAUACACAUCAUCACCUUCUAACAAAGUGCUUAGCUCUAGUGCACCGCAUCUUGUCUACUUCUCUCGUCUUCUCCCAGAUCCACUCUGCUUUAUAUAUCCAGCAACUUACACUCUCAUUUUCCUAGCUAUAUUUUCACUUACUCCUGUGGGGAGCAAUCCGGACUAGACUGUUACUCGAAUUAAGACUUAUUCUAUGCAUCUGCUCUCCCACAAUAUGGCGCUGGGAGAGAAGUAAACAGCUUCCGCACAGCUGCCUCCAGUUCAACCAAUUAACUGUAGGACUUGCUCCUGAUUGGAGGAGAGCAGCGUACUCAGCCGAGUUGGGAUUGGCGGAAGAGGACUAUAAAGGAGGAGAGAGACGGCACGCACCUGGAACAUCUAUGGGGAACAUCUAAGGGAACCCGUGCAGCCCCCGAGAAAGCCGGCCGGCGGUGUGCCGCUCCCCUGCGGAAGUGGGGAAUGCGGCCAGGGGGAACUGCCCUUCCACGGAGGUGGAAGGGAUAGUAGCCAGCCCGGGAAGAACCAGCAGCAAACCCGGGGAGGGCCGAGCAGACGAAAGAACAGCGCAGGGUCCUGUGUCGUUCCUCCACGAAGAGGGGGAGCGACAUAAUGGUGCCGUGACUCGGAUAGGAAACCUGACUCGGAUAGAAAACUUAGGACGGAUUAGGAAACCUAGAACGGAUAGCAAACUUAGGAGGGAAGAAACGGGAAGAAACGGGAAGAACUGGGAAAAUAUCGGAGAGAGAAACUAGCAAACAGCCUAGGGAAAUUACCGGAGAGAGAGACUAGCAAACAGCCUAGGGAAAAGCCGGACGAAAAGGGUGCCGGAAGAAGCUAUUGAAAGCCUAGGCAUAGACUCGGAUACGGACUACGGGGGGAAGCUGGGAGAAAUCUCUAAGGUCGAAAGCGAAAGUGAAAGCUAGAACAAACAGAUUCGGACGCGGACUGUGGGGAGAGGCCAGGAGAAAUGAGGGAGGAAUAUCGUUGGAGGAAAGCUUGGGGAAAUAUACCGGGUAGAGAAAACUGUUAGGGAAAUUGAAGCCGCGGGGGGCAGGCCAAGGCGGAAACGAAAGCCACUUUGGGGUUCUCAGGUUAGCCCGGGAAUAGGGGGCGAAAAGUUGAAACCAGAAGCUGAGACGUAAGCCAGAUUGGGAUCCGUCUGAUUAGCCCGGGGAGCAAAGGACGGGAAGCCAAAUCGUGGGGCGGAGACGUACGCUGGGUUGAAUUCGCCAGGCUAGCCCGGGGAACUUGGAUUGAAUCCUAGUGGUGGAGACGCAAGCUACGCUGUGUUACUCGCGGAAGCCGCCGCGUGCAGAGAGAGCACGGGGCGUGAAUAGAUAGGGAACGGGGCUGGCGUAGGCCGUGGUUCAGACGCGAAAGGGUUAAGCGUGGAGACCGCGGAGCGCGCGAAGCCGGGAAGCCGCGCAAAGCCGGGAAGCUGCGCAGAUGAGAGAGGCACGCGGGCUGAAGCGGCGCAGAGCCGGGAACCCGCCGGCGGGGCGAGGUGCCGGGAAGCUGCGGGGAUAAGAGAAACAGAAGUUUGGAAGUGAAGUAAAAGAGAAAUGGGAAUGCUGGAAGAUAGAAGUGAAAUGGGAGAGGUAGGAAUGCCUGGAGAUAGAGAAAUAGAGAAAAAUAAGGCCUCCCCUCAACAUGCCAAUUAGAAGGCUUGGAUUCGGUCUGCCCGAUUAGUGAGGCGAUGAGCACCUGGGCGGCUAGCCGCAGGUCACCGAAGACAGGCACGAAUUAACAUCAGUAAAGCUUCCCCACAAUGCAACAAUUAGGAGGCUUGGAUUCGGUCUGCCUGAUUUAAGGCGGUAAGCGCCAGCAAAGCUCGACCAGAGUAUGAGCUGCAGGUCACCGAAGAUAGGCACGAACCAACACUAAUAAGUCUCCCCCACAAUACGGCAAUGAGAAGGCUUGGAUUCGGUUUGCCUGAUAGGUCUUGUAAGUCCCCUGCAGGCAGAGCAGAGCAUGCGCUGCAGGGCACCGAAUACAGGCACGCAUCAGCGCCUAAAAACCUCCUCACAACAUGGCGAAGAGAGGACCCGGAUUCGGUUUUCCUGAUUGAUAGGACUUGUAAGAGCCUGUGGCAACUCUAGCAAGUAGAGCAGAGUGUGUGCCGCGGGACACCGAAGACAGGCGCGUAUCAACGCUAAAAAAUAAAAAGAAAGGGGGAUCUGUGGGGAGCAAUCCGGACUAGACUGUUACUCGAAUUAAGACUUAUUCUAUGCAUCUGCUCUCCCACAAUAUGGCGCUGGGAGAGAAGUAAACAGCUUCCGCACAGCUGCCUCCAGUUCAACCAAUUAACUGUAGGACUUGCUCCUGAUUGGAGAGCAGCGUACUCAGCCGAGUUGGGAUUGGCGGAAGAGGACUAUAAAGGAGGAGAGAGACGGCACGCACCUGGAACAUCUAUGGGGAACAUCUAAGGGAACCCGUGCAGCCCCCGAGAAAGCCGGCCGGCGGUGUGCCGCUCCCCUGCGGAAGUGGGGAAUGCGGCCAGGGGGAACUGCCCUUCCACGGAGGUGGAAGGGAUAGUAGCCAGCCCGGGAAGAACCAGCAGCAAACCCGGGGAGGGCCGAGCAGACGAAAGAACAGCGCAGGGUCCUGUGUCGUUCCUCCACGAAGAGGGGGAGCGACAACUCCCAGUCCUCUGGCCCACAAGAAAGAUGUGAGCUGUCGGGUAUCUCAGUCUGUGUUGACAAAUCCUAGAUCCCACCUGAAUAUUCUACCUUCUCAGCAAACUUUGAUUUCGCUCCAGACGUUCUGAUCUACACCUCAAAGUCCCAAUUAUCAUAAAUGCCUCUGUUUGACCUACCUUUCUCUGAUGUCUCUCCUUACCCUAGUUGAGACUUUUAGGCACCAUUUAUCUCUCAACAAACUAGCACCCCACCCCGAACAAUUGGGCUAUCUUAAGCCGAGAUGAAUGUAGAUGAAUAAAAACUCAUCAUCAAGCCCUACUCAUAUGUUUUAAUGCCUUUUUGUCUCCUAGACUUAAUAUUUAUUUGAUUGCAGCAACUUGUGAUUUUCUGGUUGCACUUUAGUGACUAUUUGUCCUGCAUCUGUAUUAAAGGGAAGCAUUUAAUGUACCUCAUUUAAGCAUGGGUAUCCAGAUAACACUUAGCAGUCAACAUGACAGUUAAAUGAUUCCUAAAUGUUAAAAUCUAGAUUUCAUACAAACAAGUACAUGCCAGUGUUCAGGAAUCAGAGAGUCAAACUUUUGAUGGCUUCACAGCCUUAGACAAAGAAUGAAAGUACGGGUUCUAUCAGAAUCCUGGCUCCCCACCCAGAAGAAGCUCCUGGCUCCUGGCUACAAGCUUCAGAUUGGCCAAGCUCCGGCCAUUGCGGCCAUUUAGGGAGUGAACCAGCAGAUGGAAUCUCUCUCUCUCUCUCUCUUUCUGCCUCUGCCUCUCUGUUAACUCUGCUUUUCAAAUAAAUAAAUAAAUAUUUAAAAAACAAAAAUCGUGGCUCCCCAUGACUCAGCAUUGAGCUUUGGCAGAAUAUUUUCUGUCUUCUUUUACCACAAAUCCCCACUGCCCACGUCUGGUUACAAUACACGAUCACACGCAUGGUCCAUCCAGGCCAAUGCUUUGACAGAGGAAUCAAAGCUGACCACUUGUGCUGUCUCAGAAAUAUCUAGAAGUCCCUUAGUAGUGCUAUGCAGCUUGCUCAUUAGGUUACCUUAUGAAAUCCUCUUGCAACUUACUGAGUUGGUAGGAAUACAAUCUGCUGUGUCGUCUGUUCUUAAUGUAGACCGACUCUUCAUUUCCUGGGCUGCUCUGGUUGAGGUCCUCCUGGGAUUCUCCAGCCCAUCUAAUUAACUUGCCUCAGUCCUUACCUCCCAGCAAUCUCCCUUCAUUAUGUCCAAUAGAGUCUUCAGCUUCAUUCUUUUUUGCCUGCUACAACUAUUGGUUACUUCUGGUUGGUGCCUCUCCUUAAACAGCAGACCACCAAUAAUAUUCCUCUAGCAGGCCAAACUUAGACUACAGCAUUCUUUAUAUUAACAUUAAAUACCAAAUUCUAUGUAAUUCCUUUUCCACAGCCACCAAGUCCCCAGGCCAUGCUGGUAUACUCUUCAUGACGGUCGAUGCCCGUGGGGUGGUCCUGUCCUUCCAGACCGAACAAUUACCAAACCCCCUUGCCUGGUUCAGCCCCUUCCUGCUGGGUCUUCAGCAUACAGCAGGAAUCCCCUGCAAGCUUUUACCAACAGUCAGCUUUUAUUGCACUUUAUUGCUCCUGGCCUCCCCCAGGAUAGGGAAGGGUUGACAGACUUCUUUUGUAUUUCAGAUCAACAACUCAAGGUUGAAAAAUAUGGAGUCAACGAGCUAGAACAAGGAGCCCGCCUUAGAACAGGAAGCACCUGAAGAAGUGAAAAACCCCUAGAACAAUCCUGUGCAGGCCAACUUGAAUACAAGUUUUUCAGGGUUUUAAAGGUGGCAGAAGUGGUAAGUGGGAAAACUAGCGAGAGGAACCCACCAGAGAAAAAGAUCUUGUGUGCUGAGUAUAGGAAGGGCUUUAGCCAGUCCCAAGACCUCUGAAACCCGACGAUCCACACCAGGGAAAAGCCCCACAAGUGUGGGAGGGAAAGCAAGUGUGGGAGCAGCCUCCAACCUAACCCUGCAACCGUGCCGGCCUGUGGCAGCAGCGCCCCCUCCCGAACUUCACUAAGGGCGCUUAGACCGGGCCUUACACCCUGGCCCAAACUUAGCGCACACACGUAUAAGCACGUAUGAGCAGCCUUCCCACGCGUGGCAGGUGGUUGGGCCUCCAGUCCAAGCUCACCUGGCUUCCAGCAUCCGCACAGUAAAUCACCACACGGCAACUUCUCCCUCCAGAGGACCAGCGUGACCUUGUGCAACACCUGAGCGUCUGCACCGUGCUAGAAGACUCCCCAGUACCGUGGAGUGACCAGGGAGGAGAGGCCCUGAAUUCGAGGAGACCUGGAAAACUAAGUUCUUGCCACGUCCAGCAAGAGGCCCUAUCAAUGUGAGGAGUCUGACAACGCCUUGACUCAGGGCUCACUUCCUAAGCAUAAGAAAACCAAUCCAAAAAAAAAAAAAAAAAAAAAAAAAAAAAGUUGAGGAAAAAGAAAAAAACCAAUUGGUAGUGCGGUAGAAAAGCCAGCAAGCAAA